CCGCAAUUUGCAAAGCUAAAAAGUUGAUAGACAAUUUCACAUUUUGUCUCUGUCAUCAUUUAUUCCAAGCAUGCGCUGGUCCUUCAUUUCCAUUUCUAUCAUUUUCCAUCUAUUUAUUUCGAUUUGUUUAACGUUUUAUAGUUAUCAUUAUCAUACAAAAGUUUGAUAUAUGUCACACAAAUAAUUCAAAAGUUUGAAUAAACCAUUUUAUGUUAGUUACUUUGGUGUUAUCCUGAAAUAUACGCGGAUCCCGCUCUCCUUUUUGGUUCACCAAUCUUUGUUCAGCACUAUAUAAAUACAAAACCAAGAUCUAGCAAACAAAAGGCAAAAAUUUGUAUUUCGGUAACAAUAAAAUUUAGGCUAUGUAAUUUUAAUAAAUUUUCUAGGUAGACUAGAUUCGAGAUCA